CAAUGAUCCGAAACAGAACGGAUCAUCAGCAGGACCGCUUGGAAUCUUGCGCACAAAGAAUUCCGAUGAAAAUCCGCGGAAUUUCAAAUAGGGUUAGGAUUUAGGAUUCUUAAACUAAAAAUGCACUACCAGCUGCCAGAAAAGUAAACAAAAAUUGACUUGUUGCUGAAUUUGCAUUUUUUGGGGGAAUGCAUUUCAAUUACCCGAAAGUGUUUCACUCUGCCAACCCUUCCCUAUGUGGGUGGUGCAGACAGCUCAGUGAGUGAUUGGCACUGUAGUUGUCUGAUGAUCGUAGUAACGUUAUCUAGCUAAAAAUGCCAAGAUUUACAGCAGCAGAGGAGAUGAGGAGUAAACACUUGGCGACAGUUGAACUGUACGAGGAUGAAGGAGUACUUUUCUGCGAAGACUGUCAUAAUUCAAUCAACUAACUUACAUACGGCGAAAACUGCCGUGGAGCGCGACUGGUCACUCAGACACAAAAAUACGAGGGCCAUUGUGGACCAGUCCAAACAAGAACACAGACCCUGGCCCCUGUCUGGCAAAGAUCCCCUCCACAGCUGACGGAAAGGAGUUCAUAUUGGACUUCACAGGAACAUUAAUCGAGAGAAGAGGCCCAAGUUCUCCACAUUUCUUUAGGAACACUGCAAGCAGGGAGGGCCUAUCCCAGCGCCAUCCCAUCUGCGUACAGAGUUCAUUCGAUGCCAGCCUUAGCUCACUUUGAUACAUCUGUGCCUCCCCACUAUCUCAGUGGAUGUAGAGAGACUUUUCUUACAUUAUCAGAUGCUACUUAGUCAGCAUAGGAGGAGCCUCACAGAUAAUCUUUUAAAUAUGUUGAUUGCAAAGUACAAAGCAUUGAGCACUAAAAAGCAUGUCAGUCACACACCCAACUCUCCCCCUCUUUCUGUGUUUUGGUUUGAAGCAAUUUGAUAAUAGUUAUGGUGAAUGGAACAACGAGACAAAAUUGAUAAUCUAAUCUAUUUGGUGUUUAUGCAUUUAUAGCUAGAUUCAAUGUAUUAUUUGUGUUUAUAUGCCUUUGCACUUUGUCUAUAUUCUUCCAUAAGGAAACAUUUACAAUAAAAGGAUCAUAUAAAGA